GACGAACGCUGGCGGCGUGCUUAACACAUGCAAGUCGAGCGGUAAGGCCCUUUCGGGGGUACACGAGCGGCGAACGGGUGAGUAACACGUGGGUGACCUGCCUUUAGCUCUGGGAUAAGCCUGGGAAACCGGGUCUAAUACCGGAUAUGACUCCGCGGCGCAUGUUGUGGGGUGGAAAGCCUUGUGCGGCUGGAGAUGGGCCCGCGGCCUAUCAGCUUGUUGGUGGGGUGAUGGCCUACCAAGGCGACGACGGGUAGCCGGCCUGAGAGGGCGACCGGCCACACUGGGACUGAGACACGGCCCAGACUCCUACGGGAGGCAGCAGUGGGGAAUCUUGCGCAAUGGGCGAAAGCCUGACGCAGCGACGCCGCGUGA
rnacentral:rRNA from 1 species